rnacentral:lncRNA from 1 species
AUCAUCGAAGUUACUAAACAUCAAAAUACGUAAUUAAGUCUUGACUUCUCUUGGAAUAACAUAAUGCAGAUCAUUAUUUUUCAAUGUCUAAUACACAAUCUUAAUGCUUAAAUUAGGUCAUAAAUUCAAUAUAUAAGUUGCCUUGGCUGCUCACUUGGUCAGCGUGUAAAUGAUCACUAGCACUUAUAAUUUUGUUUCUUUACAGCUGAUCAUCUUUGUCCCAUAUAACUUGUUAUUUAUUCCUAAUUUAACAGAUAUUUAUUGAGGUGACUUUUGUUAUAACCUAAACCAAUGGCUCCUCUUUGAUAUGCUGAAUAUUCAAAAUAAUAUCUCCAAAUCCUAAUGGCUAGUUAAUGUUGAAAUAAAGAAUGAAAUAGAGAAUCUAUUUAUUCAAAUGCAGCAAAGAUAAUCAUGGAAUUUAUAUUCAUAUAGGUAUAUGUCUCUUUCUAUACCAAUAGUUUUCAAAGUAAAAACUCACAUGUAUAUUGUGUAUAUGUGUUUUCUUCUUAUUCCUGAUACAUUCUAACCACUUCCCAAUCCCAAGAGAUGCUUGAUGUUCUCAAGCCAUAAUUGUCUCUCUGGAAUAUGUGUCAAGGUCCUCCAUAGUAAUUAGAUUGAUAAUCCUAUUCAGUCUUAGAUUCUAGUGUAGUUUAUUCCUUAAUCAAUGACAUAUUACAUUAUUAUCAUAUAAUAAUAUUUUUGAUACUAAUAUACACAUGUUUUAUACUAUUGUUUAUUUGUUUGCUUGUUUAUUAUUUUGUUAUGAUCUUAAAACGUGUCUAUAUGGGUCUUCGUGUGAUAGCUCAAUUUGUGAAAUGUUUGCCUUAUAAAGACCCGAGUUUUAUUGCUAGAACUGAUGUAAAACUGGGUUGUGAUAUGUCCUUGUAAUCCUAGCAUGGGGGAAACAGAAAUUGGAGGGUCCAUGAGGCAUUCUUUGGUUAGUGAGUUCCAGGCCAGUGUCUCAAAGGAUGUAGAUGAUAUUUCUGAGAAUGACAACUAAGAUUGUCCUCUGGCACCUGCAUACACAUGAAUGUACAUGUAAACAUAUGUUUACAAAGGCUAAUAAUUCAUUUUACUCUUGUUAACUAUCAGAAAACAUUUCUUCAUUUCAUUUCAAAUCUUCAAAUGUUUUAUUAAGUGACAAGAAACCCAGGAAAUGCUCUGCCAUGUGGAAAGGCAAGGUUGUAGUAGUAAUUAGUCUCCACCAGGGUUUCUACCCUGCCUUUUAUCAUUGUGCUCCCAGAU